rnacentral:rRNA from 1 species
UAAUACGGAGGGGGCGAGCGUUAUUCGGAAUUAUUGGGCGUAAAGGGCGCGUAGGUGGCCCUGUAAGUCAAAGGUGAAAUCCCUCGGCUCAACCGAGGAAUUGCCCUUGAAACUGCAGGGCUUGAGGCCGGGAGGGGGUAGCGGAAUUCCCAGUGUAGCGGUGAAAUGCGUAGAUACUGGGAGGAACACCGGUGGCGAAGGCGGCUACCUGGACCGGUUCUGACACUGAUGCGCGAAAGCGUGGGUAGCAAACAGGAUUAGAUACCCUGGUAGUCCACGCUGUAAACGAUGGGUGCUCGGUGUCGCGGGUAUCGACCCCUGCGGUGCCUUAGCUAACGCGUUAAGCACCCCGCCUGGGGAGUACGGUCGCAAGGCUG